rnacentral:rRNA from 1 species
CGCGUAGGCGGUUUGAUAAGUGGGAUGUGAAAGCCCUGGGCUCAACCUGGGAACUGCAUUCCAAACUGUCAGACUAGAGUAUGGUAGAGGGUGGUAGAAUUUCCUGUGUAGCGGUGAAAUGCGUAGAUAUAGGAAGGAAUACCGAUGGCGAAGGCAGCCACCUGGACCAAUACUGACGCUGAGGUGCGAAAGCGUGGGGAGCAAACA